GCAGCAGUGGGGAAUUUUCCGCAAUGGGCGAAAGCCUGACGGAGCAAUACCGCGUGAGGGAAGACGGCCUAUGGGUUGUAAACCUCUUUUUUCAGGGAGGAAUAAAAUGACGUGUACCUGAAGAAUAAGCAUCGGCUAACUCCGUGCCAGCAGCCGCGGUAAGACGGAGGAUGCAAGUGUUAUCCGGAAUCACUGGGCGUAAAGCGUCUGUAGGUGGUUUAAUAAGUCAACUGUUAAAUCUUGAGGCUCAACUUCAAAAUCGCAGUCGAAACUAUUAGACUAGAGUAUAGUAGAGGUAAAGGGAAUUUCCAGUGGAGCGGUGAAAUGCGUAGAUAUUGGAAAGAACACCGAUGGCGAAAGCACUUUACUGGGCUAUUACUAACACUCAGAGACGAAAGCUAGGGUAGCAAAUGGGAUUAGAUACCCCAGUAGUCCUAGCCGUAAACUAUGGAUACUAGAUGUGAACAGAUCGACCUGUGCAGUAUCAAAGCUAACGCGUUAAG
rnacentral:rRNA from 1 species